UACGAGGGGGGCGAGCGUUGUUCGGAUUUAUUGGGCGUAAAGAGCGUGUAGGCGGCCUGAAAGGUCAGCUGUGAAAACUCGAGGCUCAACCUCGAGACGUCGGUUGAAACCAUCUGGCUAGAGUCCGGAAGAGGAGAGUGGAAUUCCCGGUGUAGCGGUGAAAUGCGCAGAUAUCGGGAAGAACACCCGUGGCGAAGGCGGCUCUCUGGGACGGUACUGACGCUGAGACGCGAAAGCGUGGGGAGCGAACAGG
rnacentral:rRNA from 1 species